GCUUCUCUUAUUUCCAAUUUUUCUUAUAAAUUUACUUUGUCCUAUUCUCUUUUCAAUCUUGUUGGAUUAUUGUAAUAUAAAUAUGUUGUCGAUUCCUGUAUCCUCUAAAUUAAAUAAAGACAGGCUUGUUUAAUCCUGGGGAAACAUUUCACAUUGCUGAAAUAGUCAGUGCCCAGCACGACUCAAGUCAAUCCGUGUAUACGCUUACAAAUAAUAUUGAAGCAAUAUUAUUAUUGAAAUUCUUGCUCUCAAUUACUACAGAAAUAGAGUUUGGAGUUGGAACGGCGAAAAUUCUGUGCGAUGCCGAAUGUUGAAUUAGAAUAGUCCUUACGAAUUGGUACUUAUUUGAUUCUUUUGUAUCUGCUGAAUUGGUUUUGAAAAAAAAAUGAGACCUUGACCAGGGGCGAGAAUAAACUUGCCGAACUUGAUAGAAGAAGGCAAACUUUGUUGAGGCUGUGAAAUUGGUACACUGUCGAUACUACGGACAUGCAUCUUGUAUACAGGGUAAGUUGGCCAUCAAUUGGGUGCUACAAUGUGAAGUCAGUGUCCCAAAAAGCAGAGUAGGACAUGUCACCUACUAGGCAUUGAAUUGAAAUUUUGUUCGACUAUCCCAACAUACUCACAUUUUUGUUUAUGUGCUUGUUUACAAUUGUAAGUUCUAGUAUACAUCAUUUAUGUUAAGAAAACAAUUGCCUUCUUCUGCUGUCUACCCUUGAGUAGUUACAUUCUUCAACUUGCAGAUUGGGUUUUUGUGUCAUAUGAUAGAACCAUGUUCUGUUUAUUGUACAUCCAUAGAAGCUUCUUUGGCUUUUAGCAUGUAGUAGUAUUGUAGUAUAACAUUCUCAUGUGAACAAUUUUGUU